rnacentral:tRNA from 1 species
ACCGAAUGGCGUAGUGGUUAGUGACUUUGACUACUGAGCCGAAGGUCCCGGGUUCGAUUCCCGGCUGGGGAA